rnacentral:rRNA from 1 species
UACGUAGGGUGCAAGCGUUGUCCGGAAUCACUGGCGUAAAGGGCGCGUAGGCGGCGCGGGCAGUCAACGGUGAAAGCUCGGGGCUCAACUCCGAGUCGGCCGUCGAUACUCCCGUGCUUGAGCACUGUAGAGGCAGGUGGAAUUCCGGGUGUAGCGGUGGAAUGCGUAGAGAUCCGGAAGAACACCGGUGGCGAAGGCGGCCUGCUGGGCAGUAGCUGACGCUGAGGCGCGACAGCGUG